GAUAAAAUCAGCUAAAUAAGCUCUCGGGCCCAUACCCCGAAAAUGAUGGUUAGACCCCAUCCUUUAUCA
rnacentral:tRNA from 1 species